UACGGAGGGUGCAAGCGUUAUCCGGAAUCACUGGGUUUAAAGGGUGCGUAGGCGGUCUAGUAAGUCAGUCGUGAAAUCGCUGGGCUCAACCCAUGCAAUUGCGAUUGAUACUAUUAGUCUUGAAUUCUCUGGAGGUAAGCGGAAUAUGUCAUGUAGCGGUGAAAUGCUUAGAUAUGACAUAGAACACCCAUUGCGAAGGCAGCUUACUACGGAGACAUUGACACUGAGGCUCGAAAGCGUGGGGAUCAAACAGGAUUAGAAACCCUGGUAGU
rnacentral:rRNA from 1 species